rnacentral:rRNA from 1 species
CCUACGGGAGGCAGCAGUGGGGAAUAUUGGACAAUGGGGGGAACCCUGAUCCAGCCAUGCCGCGUGUGUGAAGAAGGCCCUCGGGUUGUAAAGCACUUUCAGUGAGGAAGAACGCCUGGUGGUUAAUACCCAUCAGGAAAGACAUCACUCACAGAAGAAGCACCGGCUAACUCCGUGCCAGCAGCCGCGGUAAUACGGAGGGUGCGAGCGUUAAUCGGAAUUACUGGGCGUAAAGCGCGCGUAGGUGGCUUGAUAAGCCGGUUGUGAAAGCCCCGGGCUCAACCUGGGAACGGCAUCCGGAACUGUCAAGCUAGAGUGCAGGAGAGGAAGGUAGAAUUCCCGGUGUAGCGGUGAAAUGCGUAGAGAUCGGGAGGAAUACCAGUGGCGAAGGCGGCCUUCUGGACUGACACUGACACUGAGGUGUGAAAGCGUGGGUAGCAAACAGGAUUAGAUACCCCGGUAGUC